GCCAAGGUCAGCUGGCCGAUACGGAUGACGCCAGCUCACGAGAUGCACACGGAAGAGUGACUGCAGGGAAUAAACAGCGGUAACUAGAGUUUCCUGUGAUUUAAAAGGACUGCGAGGACAUUCAUCUGACAUCAAUGAAGACGGUGGCUUCUUGAGUUUCUGAAGGACUUACGUGAUGGCCGCUGGAAGCUCCACAGGCAGAGAGUGUGAUUAAAACUGACUGUGAACGUGAUCUGGCAGCCGAUAUGAAACACGUCAGCUCAGAGAAGAGGAAGGAGGGGGGAAAGGCUUCACACAAAAUGAAAGAUAGAAACAGAGAGGCUCUCUCCUCAGCCUUCACCUCGACAUUACCUUUUUGCAUUUCCACAGAAGCGUUGAAAGCCUAUGAAGUCAUCACGAGGCGCGGCUAUUAGUUGCUGUACUUGUCAACAGAAGGGAAGAUCAAUACAUCUCAUAUGAAUAAUGUAAACACUGAGGUCACUUCAAAUGUGUGUUAAUCAUUUUGGCAAGCGGAGGGAAAGCUCCUAUCUGCUAAAUGCGUUUGAGACGGACUCCAAAUCAAUGCCACGAUUACCAAAACACAAACAAGCAGCACUGCAGGAGAGCGCUGAUUAAACGCUUUUGACAUCGCAGUUAACGGUAGCUGAACCUUUCCAUCAGAGCUCACGUCUGGCAGCGGUUCAACACCGAGCAAAUCCAUCUGAUCUGAUUAACAUCUUCAAAUCUCAGCGCUGACUCAUCAGUGUUGCCUUUUAGCUUUUAGUGUUGGUGGGUCUGAUCCGUGUACAGAAGAAAGUCCGACAUUCAAAAGUCAUCAUUUGACAUCGUGUGUAAGUUAAAGGGGUCCUAUGAUGCUCAUUUUCAGUCAGGAGAAUAGGGAACUUCAGCGAUAGCAGACCAUUUACAUGCACAAAACCCCUCUACAAACACACUAUGGGAAAGGGUCAACAUUCUUAUCCUGAGCCAAAUCAUGUUUGUUUAUACAUUUGACGAUUUAGACGCUUGUUUCUGAUCCGUGUACAGAAGAAAGUUCGACAAUCAAAAGUCAAUUUGGACAACAAACGCUCAUUUUCAAUAUUUUUCUGUGUGUAUUUUAGCCUCUGCAGACCAUUUGCAUGCACACAAACCUAUAGAACACACUACAGGAGAGGGAAAACCCUUCUUAGCCGAAUCAUGAUUUUGUAUAUACCGUAAAGCAGUUUUGUCUUGUUAGUUGUUACACAUCAAACUACCGCCGUAAUCCGGGAGAAAUUCCCUCAAAACUUAAUUGAGAGCAGUUUAGUUUUAUAGGAUGGGGAGGUGGAUCCCGCUGAGCCAUGAUUCUUAUAAACGGUGAAAAUGUAGUCCUGGUUUUGUCCUGAAAUACUCAAUUACUGCACCGAGGCGAGUAUCAUGUGAAUCUCCAGAGAAACUCUCAUCUUCAACCUGUUCAGCCCUGAGCCUGUUUUUCAGGUCUCAGGCUCGAAAAUGACAUUCCCAGAACAAAUGACCAUAUCUUCUAAAAGGGGGACAUUAAUAAUCUUUGUUCUCAAAGUAAUGAUAAACCUGUGAGUUG